AUUCCACACACGUUUAUUAGGAUGUCUGUCAAUCGUCAUCGUUUAGUCCUCGCAUGGUGUCGUUUAUUCUCAUAUCGCGUCAUGCAACCGUACGACAAUUGCAUUUGCUGAGCCAUGGGUUAAAAAGACGGCGAUAGGUACAAAAACCCCGUUUCGCUGACCAAACACGUUCAUCGGUAAUUUGCCUUUGGAACCGAAAAGCGCGAAGAAAUUGCAAAUUUUCUUUCUUCCGCUCGACGAAGCAAACACAGAAUAAACAAUGACAGAGGAUAGCAGCGUUAGGGUUUCUUCGUCCGAUGAAACCUCCGUAGCCAACGAUGCUUCGCAAACGAGGCAGAGGAAGAAGAGAAAGUGGGAUCAACCGGCAGAGUCCUUGGUACCUGUUGGGAUGGCAGUUCCUGGAGCCCUUCCUUUGAGCAAUGCUGCGUCCCUUGGAGGAGUUGCAUUUCCGGGUGUGAAUCCGGUUAUCUCUGGCGCUCUUUUGACAAAUCCUCUGGCAGCUUCAGUUCAGCUUCAGCAACUCAAUGCCUCCGCUGCCACCCAAAAAUUGAAUCAACAAAAGAUCCAAGAUGAAUUGAUAAUUGCUCGAGAAAUUGUCAUAAAUGAUGCAGAGUCUUCAGUACGUUACAAGUUGACAAAGCGCCAGACACAAGAGGAGAUCCAGAGGUGCACUGGUGCUAUAGUCAUAACUAGGGGGAAGUAUCGACCACCUAAUGCACCACCUGAUGGAGAGAAACCGUUGUAUCUUCACAUCUCUGCAGGGGCUCAUAUAAAAGAGACAGCAGAACGAAUUUUAGCUGUUGAUCGUGCUGCUGCAAUGGUGGAAGAAAUGCUGAGACUGGGGCAAAAUUCACCGUCAAUUUCUUCUGCCUCUCCUUCAGCAUUGGUUAAUGGACUGAAGAUGCUGAGUACAUGUGUAUUUUUGGGCUUUGAUGCUGAUCCUUCACUGAACAUUGUUGCUCGUAUACGUGGACCAAAUGACCAGUAUAUAAAUCACAUUAUGAAUGAAACAGGAGCAACGGUUAUACUGAGAGGAUGUGGUUCAGGACACAAUGAGUCCUUGAAUGGAGCAGAUGGACAGCAGCCUCUACAUCUGUUUUUAUCUAGUAACAAUGCAAAAAGUCUUGAAGAUGCCAAGUUUUUGGCUGAAAAUCUUUUGGAUACAAUCAGUACAGAGUGUGGUGCUUCAAGGGUUUCAUCAUGUAAGGUUUAUAGUGCUGUUCCACCUCCGCAGCAGGUAUAUACUGCUGUUCCACUACCGCAGCAGAUUUAUAGUGGCUCUUCAUUGCCAAAGCAGAUUCCUACUACCAUUACACCCCCACAACAAGUUUAUAGUGCUGUUCCACCCCCACAUCAGUUGUUGACUGGAGUUCAGAGUUCUGGAAUUGAGCUAGAGGCAAGCACAGGCCUUACCACGAGUUCAUUGUCAUCACCAGUCUCAACACUGGUUCCUCCAGCUUCCUUGGUUGGAGUGCCUGGUGUCACCACUGCCCUCACUUCAGGGACUAUGCUGCAAUCUACAGGACAGUUAAGCUCUGUGCCUCAACCAAACAUGGUUGGUUAUACUCCCUCUUUGGUAUCACGUUGCACUAGCUAUUUUGGAUAUGACGGGAUAUAUCCUCAAGCUACCCCUUUGCAACAAGUUGCCCUUGCUUUGAGACACUCACCUCCUGUUGCAUCAACAGUUGCUCCCACAACAUCGGCAUCAAACAGAGAAUCCAAGUCAACCACAAGCUCUGAUUGUGAAAAGGAGAAGCAGCCACCUCAGAAAAGAAAGUUUCAAGAGUUACCAGUUGGUUCAAAGGGCUCUACAAAGCUUGAUCAGGUAUUUUCUCUGACCUUCUAUGAAGCUAAUAGGCUGACACUGGACCUGUCUGUUGGGCCGUUGGUUUGUAUGUUUGACAGGGUUUUCAGUUUUGAAGGAGUAGGAGGGUGCUUGUGACUUCACAGCAUAUGCCCUUGCCAAUCCAAGAUGUUAUUCUGGUUUUUACCUUCGUUGGUAAAAUAGCUGCAAAAGGUGUUGCAGCAUGCUUUUGGUCAUACCCACUUGAAGAAAAGGGUUUAUCAGCACCAAAUUGAAACAUCCCGUUACAGGGAAAAAUAAAAUUAGAGAUAUAGGAUAUAGAUAUGAGAUAUCAGGGCAAGGUACAAUAAGAAAAUGAAUAAAAUUAAAAAUAUAUGAGCGGAGUUUGUUAAAAUAAUAAAGCCCUUUCAGUGGGUUAUCCAUUGAAUUGACACUAACAAACAUCUAAUAUUUUAAAACCAUGGUGCUGUCAACCUGGAGGUGAUAAAAUAGAAACCAUUUCGUUUGAUAUUCUUGCAUUUUUCUUUAGCCAAUUACAACUAAAAAGAUGAAAACAUCUUACACCACCAUGUAAAAAACACACCCUCACAUCUUGUGUGCUACCAAUUAACCCAUUGCUUGCCAAAAAUCAGGUUCCAGUACUACCAGUGAACCCAUCUCUCACCAAAAUACUCAGUCUUGAGUGCAAGAUUUAUUUAUCUUGAUUUUUGAUAUCAAUGCUACAUUGGUACUGGUGCUCAAACCUUUUUAUAUGGAAAAUUUGAGCUUCAGAUGUACAGUUAUCUUGCCAUGAUUAUCUAUUGGAAGCAUGGGUUGCAAUAAAUUUUGCACCCAUCUUAAUUAUAUCAUCUAUUCAUUUACACAAUUACCAUUUUUGUACUUUCCUGGUUGCUACACUGCUUAGUCACCUUAUAUUGUUUUACCUUGCUUUGUUUACUUGUUUUUCUCCUUUGAAGUUGAGAGUCUUAAUUCACUUGUUUGGCGUGUUGAAACAAUUAGUAAAAUAUCUGAUUCGGAAGUUGUGUUUGGAUUGUUGUUUUCUCCCACUCUAACUCAAUUGCAGGGAUUGGAACCUCUAAAACCUAAAAUAUCGACUAUGCCUGCUCCUAAGAAGUUGGUCCAGCCAUCAUCCAAUGGAAAGCUGCCACCUCCACCAAGAACUAUGCCCCCUCCACCUCCACCCAUAUUUUCUGAUGCACCUGAAGCUAAAGUUCAGGACAGCAUUAGGAAUUCAGUUAAGGCAAAAUCUGAUGCAGUUCCUGAUACAUUGGUCAAGCUAAUGGAAUAUGGAGAGGAUGAUGAUGAUCUAGACGAUUCCAGUGGGGAUUCACUUCCUCAUGCCACCCGAACAAUUGGGGUUCAAAAGCCGUUUUGGGCUUUAUGAGCUGCGAAGUACAUAUUAACAUAAGAGAUGUAAAUAGGUAAUUAUUUGGGUUGCGACUAAGUCAUUGCACUAGUGGUCGUUGAAUGCUGGUUAUAGCAACACUUUCCCAAUGGAACAAGAGUGAAGCCCAUGGAUUUUUGGAGCCGAAUAGUUGGCUGUUGAGUAGCAUUUGACUUUAAGUCGUAAUUGCCCAUUCUCAUAUACUAUGAGACCGGAUCGUCUGUUGUAAUUUUUUGUCCUUAUAAGUAUACAUGUACACUGGUAGUCUAUUUUUUGUAGUUUAGUGGGCUAAUAUGAUGUUACGAUGCCUAUGAUAAGGAAUGGUUUUUGCUUCUUCCCCUAGUUCAUUUUUAGUUGGCACCCUCUCAGUGAUUCCUCCGAACUGAUGAACGAAACUAUGCUUCCCGUUCUACAUGCUACCUUUUUCCUACAACUAAGCAUCUUGUUCUUAUUGCUGUUUCCAUAGUAAUGCUCUAAAUUUUUGGAAAUGCAACUUUUAGAAGUACAAUUUGUAUAUGAUGUAAAUGCAAAUUGCCCAAAAUCUUAUGCAAUCUGAAUAUAAAUCGUAGUGCGUUUUCCCU